AGAAAUAAGCAACGCAAUUAACGACGCCUGGAAUCGAACGACGAAACUUCGAGAGCUUUCCGAGAUGCACGUCACGUGAUCCACCGACGUUCGCCCAACGACCGACUAUAGUCUCGACUCGUGCAUUAGUACGCCGAGUGACCACUCGCGGCGCUGCGAGCAACAAUUGUCAGCAAUACACACGCCGUGGAACAUUAAUAAUUUUACGUCGGCGGUACAUAGACUGCGUUGGUCACACGGGGAGUCAGCGCCGGGAGGGAAUGUCAACAACCUGGUAUCUGACGCUAGAGGAGCAGGAGCUGUUGGCUACCAUUCGAAAACGCAAAGCAGAACUAGUCAUAGAAAUACAGCAAUUGAAGGAUGAGAUUGCAGAGGUCACCGAGGAGAACUGGGGAGGG